GGGGAAAAAAAAAAAAAAAAAAAGGCGGGGGGAGCCAGCACCACCCAGCAAGGCAGUGCUAGAGUUCACAUUCAGACUUCCUCACAAUAGCUGGUUAGAACAGAAACCUGAAGUAGCAGUAAUCUUACCUUGAGUACACAAGAUCCAAGGAGAGAAGAUCACUGGCUCAAAACAGUGGAGGACUGAGAAAGUGCUCUGAUCUGCUGCUGGUAGCAUGCACUUGGCUUUUAUGUGCAGGUGGGAGGAGCUGCUCCCUACGGGCCCACUUCAGGUACCCAGCCUCUAAAGAUAUGAUUCAACAGAGGCAGAGGAUUCAGAAUACAGCAGGAAGAAUGAUCACAGUGGUCUGUGACUUCUUACCUAUGAGAAAUAAACUGCAUGACACUUGUAAUCAGAACUCGUUUUGCAACUGGACUCACAACAAGAAGGAGGCACAUCAGGGCCUAGGAAACUGA
rnacentral:lncRNA from 12 species